rnacentral:rRNA from 1 species
UUCGCAAUGCCCGAAAGGGUGACGAAGCGACGCCGCGUGGGUGAGGAAGGCCUUCGGGUUGUAAAGCCCUGUCAGGAGUUAAGAAAUGUAGAUUCGCUAAUAUCGUAUCUAUUUGACGAAGGCUCCAAAGGAAGCCACGACUAACUCUGUGCCAGCAGCCGCGGUAAUACAGAGGUGGCAAGCGUUGUUCGGAAUUAUUGGGCGUAAAGAGCGCGUAGGUGGGUUUGUAAGUCAGAUGUGAAAGCCUUCUGUUCAACGGAAGAAUUGCAUCUGAAACUACAGACCUUGAGUAUAGGAGGGGAGAAUGGAACUUCUGGUGGAGCGGUGAAAUGCGUAGAUAUCAGAAGGAACGCCGGCGGCGAAAGCGAUUCUCUGGCCUAUUACUGACACUCAGUGCGCGAAAGCUAGGGGAGCAAACGGGAUUAGAUACCCCGGUAGUCCUAGCCGUAAACGAUGGGCACUAAGUAGAGGGGUUUUA